AGAUACGGAGGUAGAGCACUGAAUGUCCUAGGGGGUAUUGCACCUACCGAAGACUAUCAAACUCCGAAUGCCGUCAUCUUAUACUUGGGAGUCAGACUGUGGGUGAUAAGAUUCAUAGUCGAAAGGGCAACAGCCCAGAUCGUCAGCUAAGGUCCUAAGGUAGGUUAAGUGGUAAAGGAUGUAGGAUUGCACAGCCAACCAUGAUGUUGGCUAUGUAGCGUGCGCGCAUUCAAAGAGUGCGUAAUAGCGCUCUGGUCGAGUGAUCCUGCGCCGAAGAUUUCCGGGGCUAAAACUUACUGCCGACGCUACGGCAUCAGUAAUGAUGGGUAGGGGAGCUUCCCAUACGGGUUGAAGCAUGACCGUAAGGACAUGUGGA
rnacentral:rRNA from 1 species